CGAACAACCCCUGCUGCUGCGGUAUCCAAAUCUCAGUUUCUCUCUUUACUCAAGACUUCCUCCUCCUCUUAACUUAGGUUGGUGUAAUGUAAAGAGCGUGGUUGCUGGGGCACUGAGGUAUGUUGCGUCGUGAUGAGACUUGACAUUUCCAGCUCUGCUCUGGUGACUAAAUGAUUCAUGUUCUGUGACCAGGCAGGCAAGCUCUCUCUAUGUCAGAGAAUCAACAGCACCACUUUAAGUCAGAACUGAUCUGAGCCGAGACACAGUAGCAAGGAACACACACGGAACACACACAGACGGUAUAAAACACACUCUGCAGGCUGCCCAGACACACCACCAGGGUUUCCCCACCCACCACCCCAGCCCCGGGGCCAGUGAAGGAGUGGAUUUGGGUACACUCUGAGGGAGAGUGAAAACCACAGGGUGGAAAACCACACUGUCCUUCGUCAUCGGGUUGAAGUCUCCCGUCAUAUCGUCAGGCAUCGUCAGUGCUCGGAGUACGCCAUGCGACCACUGAUGAGCAGGGAGAUCGGGAAGAACAGUGGGGAAAACACAAUCCAGUGCCCAAAGAGUACCAGGAAUGUUAUGUCUGAUUCUCUAUAUUCUAGAACGUCAGCAACCACAUUUCCAUCCACAGUUUCUAUGCGAGUAAAGUCAUAUCGUAUUAAAACAAAUCACGACGCUGUGAUUGAAACAGGAAGUUUCAUUGUAAUUUUUUAAAUGCCGGCAGAUAAUUUGUUCGUUCGACAUGGUAUCUUUUUGUGUCGGUAAAAAUGUAUUAUGCGGGAAACGGCGGUGGAAACGCCUUAAAUACUGAUAUAAUAACCAUCAUAUCAAAGCAAAUUUGGAGUCACACAAUGAUAUGGUGUAUGGUCCUCCCACUACGACUCGGGAAAAUGGUCAUGAUGAACUUCAUAGGGUACUGAAAGUGCACAGUGAUGAGCUUAAUGCUGCUUUCCUAUAAAUAUCAACGAUGACACGACAUGAUGAUCAACGCUCGAAUGUUGUUUAUCCAUAAUAAUCUCAUUAUGUAGACUAGACAAACCGCACAGCCUACCCCCACUGUAUCUGCGAGAUGUUGACUAGAACACAGGUGCCAAGCACAGAGUUGGCACAUUUGCUAUUCAAUGUAACAGUUUUUGUGACACAACUAUCGGUAGAGCUGAAAAUGCGAUGGAAACACAUUGAGCUUUAGAUUUUUAUUCGGUACAUGAAAACUUAAGCGAAAAAGUACAUUUUGUGUGUACUACUUUAUCUAUUUAAUCCACAUUAGGUGGAAACAUACACUAUAUAUUCAAAAGUACAUGGACACUACUUCAGACACACCUGUUGCUGACAGGUGUAUAAAAUUGAGCACACAGCCAUGCAAUCUCCAUAAACAAACAUUGGCAGUAGAAUGGCCUUAAUGAAGAGCUCAGUGACUUUCAAUGUGGCACCCUCACAGGAUGCCACCUUUUCAAUGGUCUGGGGCUGUUUUUCAUGAUUCGGGCUAGGCCCCUUAGUUCCAGUGAAGGGAAAUCAUAACGCUACAGCAUACAAUGACAUUCUAGAGAUGAUUCUGUGUUUCCAACUUUGUGGCAACUGUUUGUGGAAGGCCCUUUCCUGUUUCAGCAUGACAAUGCCCCCAUGCACAAAUUGAGGUCCAUACAGAAAUGGUUUGUCGAGAUCGGUGUGGAAAAAACUUGACUGGCCUGCACAGAGCCCUGACUUCAACCCCAU
rnacentral:lncRNA from 1 species